rnacentral:rRNA from 2 species
AGACCCGAAACCCGGUGAUCUAGCCAUGGGCAGGUUGAAGGUUGGGUAACACUAACUGGAGGACCGAACCGACUAAUGUUGAAAAAUUAGCGGAUGACCUGUGGCUGGGGGUGAAAGGCCAAUCAAACCGGGAGAUAGCUGGUUCUCCCCGAAAGCUAUUUAGGUAGCGCCUCGUGAAUUCAUCUCCGGGGGUAGAGCACUGUUUCGGCUAGGGGGCCAUCCCGGCUUACCAACCCGAUGCAAACUGCGAAUACCGGAGAAUGUUAUCACGGGAGACACACGGCGGGUGCUAACGUCCGUCGUGAAGAGGGAAACAACCCAGACCGCCAGCUAAGGUCCCAAAGUCAUGGUUAAGUGGGAAACGAUGUGGGAAGGCCCAGACAGCCAGGAUGUUGGCUUAGAAGCAGCCAUCAUUUAAAGAAAGCGUAAUAGCUCACUGGUCGAGUCGGCCUGCGCGGAAGAUGUAACGGGGCUAAACCAUGCACCGAAGCUGCGGCAGCGACGCUGAUGCGUUGUUGGGUAGGGGAGCGUUCUGUAAGCCUGCGAAGGUGGCCUGUGAGGGUUGCUGGAGGUAUCAGAAGUGCGAAUGCUGACAUAAGUAACGAUAAAGCGGGUGAAAAGCCCGCUCGCCGGAAGACCAAGGGUUCCUGUCCAACGUUAAUCGGGGCAGGGUGAGUCGACCCCUAAGGCGAGGCCGAAAGGCGUAGUCGAUGGGAAACGGGUUAAUAUUCCCGUACUUGGUGUUACUGCGAAGGGGGGACGGAGAAGGCUAUGUUGGCCGGGCGACGGUUGUCCCGGUUUAAGCGUGUAGGUGUGUGUUCCAGGUAAAUCCGGUUCACUUUAACACUGAGGCGUGACGACGAGGCACUACGGUGCUGAAGCAACAAAUGCCCUGCUUCCAGGAAAAGCCUCUAAGCAUCAGGUAACAUCAAAUCGUACCCCAAACCGACACAGGUGGUCAGGUAGAGAAUACCAAGGCGCUUGAGAGAACUCGGGUGAAGGAACUAGGCAAAAUGGUGCCGUAACUUCGGGAGAAGGCACGCUGACACGUAGGUGAAGUGAUUUACUCACGGAGCUGAAGUCAGUCGAAGAUACCAGCUGGCUGCAACUGUUUAUUAAAAACACAGCACUGUGCAAACACGAAAGUGGACGUAUACGGUGUGACGCCUGCCCGGUGCCGGAAGGUUAAUUGAUGGGGUCAGCGCAAGCGAAGCUCCUGAUCGAAGCCCCGGUAAACGGCGGCCGUAACUAUAACGGUCCUAAGGUAGCGAAAUUCCUUGUCGGGUAAGUUCCGACCUGCACGAAUGGCGUAAUGAUGGCCAGGCUGUCUCCACCCGAGACUCAGUGAAAUUGAACUCGCUGUGAAGAUGCAGUGUACCCGCGGCAAGACGGAAAGACCCCGUGAACCUUUACUAUAGCUUGACACUGAACAUUGAGCCUUGAUGUGUAGGAUAGGUGGGAGGCUUUGAAGCGUGGACGCCAGUCUGCGUGGAGCCGACCUUGAAAUACCACCCUUUAAUGUUUGAUGUUCUAACGUGGACCCGUUACCCGGGUUGCGGACAGUGUCUGGUGGGUAGUUUGACUGGGGCGGUCUCCUCCUAAAGAGUAACGGAGGAGCACGAAGGUUGGCUAAUCCUGGUCGGACAUCAGGAGGUUAGUGCAAUGGCAUAAGCCAGCUUGACUGCGAGCGUGACGGCGCGAGCAGGUGCGAAAGCAGGUCAUAGUGAUCCGGUGGUUCUGAAUGGAAGGGCCAUCGCUCAACGGAUAAAAGGUACUCCGGGGAUAACAGGCUGAUACCGCCCAAGAGUUCAUAUCGACGGCGGUGUUUGGCACCUCGAUGUCGGCUCAUCACAUCCUGGGGCUGAAGUAGGUCCCAAGGGUAUGGCUGUUCGCCAUUUAAAGUGGUACGCGAGCUGGGUUUAGAACGUCGUGAGACAGUUCGGUCCCUAUCUGCCGUGGGCGCUGGAGAACUGAGGGGGGCUGCUCCUAGUACGAGAGGACCGGAGUGGACGCAUCACUGGUGUUCGGGUUGUCAUGCCAAUGGCACUGCCCGGUAGCUAAAUGCGGAAGAGAUAAGUGCUGAAAGCAUCUAAGCACGAAACUUGCCCCGAGAUGAGUUCUCCCUGAGACUUAGAGUCUCCUGAAGGAACGUUGAAGACGACGACGUUGAUAGGCCGGGUGUGUAAGCGCAGCGAUGCGUUGAGCUAACCGGUACUAAUGAACCGUGAGGCUUAACCUUACAACGCCGAAG